UGGAUGCAGUGUCUGAUCAGGGAAGUCUUUAAAAGCCUGGUUCUGGGGAUGGAGUUAGUUGGGGCAGUUCAUUCCACAUAGUCCCAGAGCUUAGUGACCGUCCUUAGCAGGAUGCUGGGCUGGAAGUACCCGAUGGUGCCUGUUCUUAGGUGAUGGGUAACAUGCAGGAGUGAAGCAUCUUGACUCUGUGAAGGAAGGAGUUCCUGUGAAGGAAGGAGUUCUAACUCUCCUGGAUCUGCUUCUUGGCAUGACACACCUUUGCUGGAAUCACCAUCUAUAUCUGUCCUGAAUUUCUCCAGAAAAGGACCUCUGUUGCGGUGGAUUCUGCAUUGUGGUCUCAUCUGUUCAGUUCUGGAAAGAGACACUCUGACCUCAUUUCACCCAGACCAUGUUACAUUAUUGUUUUUAGGGAUUUUUAAUAUAAACCAGAUUUCUCUGCGUUCUCAUUUAUCUUCCAUUGAUUUCUGUAGCUUAUUCAAAGUUCUUAAUAUCCUUCUGUGAUUUUUGUUUAUUCACCACUCUUUAUUAGCAAAUCCUUAAUUCCUUAGUGCUUCUAAAGCUCCUUAGGACAUGAAACAAUACUUCUGAUUUGUUAACUGUUAUCAUUACCACCAGUGGUAUGG
rnacentral:lncRNA from 1 species